GUCAAAAAGAAAAAUUUUGAAUCAACAGAACUUGGAACUCAGCUGGGCUUGGAAGACUUGUGAACUUCCUGUUUUGAACAACUGGAUAAACAAGGGUACCAUUUAAUGCUACAUUUUUCCCCUAAGGUAAAAGCCUCCCCAGAACAUAGCUCUAGACCACUUAGCAUUUUAUUGAGAUGGAAAACAGCUCUACAAUAUCAACAUUUUGAAGUGGACCUUAGACACAGACUGCAUUGGCGAACUCUGACAAAUCUCUGAACUUGGUGAUUUGUAAGUCACUGUUGGUCUUUUCAAAUCCAGCUGCCCCUAAGUCAUUGUUCCGCCUCCUCUGAGGGAGGGUCAAGAGAAUAAGUUCAACCAUGAAGCAGAGACCUUGUAGCCCUGGAAACAUCAAGUGAGUGGAGGCCUCCAAGAUCUCACAGCUAAGACACCGGGUUAGCUGGCUUCAGCGCCCUGGCAGAACUUGCUGGCAGCCUGAGUCAGCGUCAACCAUCGGACACAGGGCAGGUGAAAGCAAUUCGCCAUGAGUCCGAAGCCCAGACCAACCAGAUUCUCCUGGGGGCCGGUCUAGGGCAUCUCUAGCCUCGCUCUGAACUCCCACAUAAGUUCGUGGUUACCCUCAGCUUUAAAUGAAUGAAAAUCAAGUCUUCCAUGAUUAAAAACAAAUGCUGUGUUUGGUGCCACAGUUGCAGAGAGUUGAAGGCCUGCUAUGUGUAUCAUAUACCGGAAUGAACUGGAGGAGACAGAAUAAGAGAUGGAAUUUAAGGAGGGAAUGGCAAGACAUACUUAAAGUGAUGAAAGAAAAUAACCUACAGCCCAGAUUACUGUACCCAGCAAGGAUCUCAUUCAAAUAUGAAGGAGAAAUCAAAAGCUUUACAG
ensembl:lncRNA